rnacentral:rRNA from 1 species
CUGGCUCAGGACGAACGCUGGCGGCGUGCCUAAUACAUGCAAGUCGAGCGAACAGAGAAGGAGCUUGCUCCUUCGACGUUAGCGGCGGACGGGUGAGUAACACGUGGGCAACCUACCCUAUAGUUUGG